AUGGCCGCCUCGCUUCGCGUUCCUAGGAAACUAUGCAGUUUUUUGUUUUUUUACGUGUUAUUUCUUACAUUAGUACCCCAGCUCAUCUUAGGUUUCAUUACAUACAGUCGAGAAGAACUACUGAAUAUAAGAUCAGCAUCAACUCACCAUCAGUACUACCAAGAAUAUGUUUUUCGCGACGCGGAUCCUGUGUUCUGCCUUACAAACAGGACAACUGAGUGGAUUCCAUGCAGCGACCCAAAAAAAAAACAACUCCGAAAAAGAGGGAAACGAGGCGGUCUUCUGGUCAGACUCCGGAGACGGGCACAUCGUGCACCACUCCCUAGCAUUCUUCCUGCCAAUGUCCAGUCUCUUGACAACAAGGUUGAUGAAAUCCGAGCAAGGGUAGCAUUCCAGAGGGACAUCAGAGACUGUAAGGUUCUUUGCUUCACGGAAACGUGGCUCACUGGAGAGACUCUAUCCGAAGCGGUGCAGCCAACGGGUUUCUCCACACAUCGCGCAGACAGAAACAAACAACUUUCUGGUAAGAAGAGGGGCGGGGGCGUAUGCCUUAUGACUAACGUGACAUGGUGUGAUGAAAGAAACAUACAGGAACUCAAAUCCUUCUGUUCACCUGAUUUAGAAUUCCUCACAAUCAAAUGUAGACCGCAUUAUCUACCAAGAGAAUUCUCUUCGAUUAUAAUCACAGCCGUAUAUAUCCCCCCCCAAGCAGACACAUCGAUGGCUCUGAACGAACUUUAUUUAACUCUUUGCAAACUAGAAACCAUUCAUCCGGAGGCUGCAUUCAUUGUAGCUGGGGAUUUUAACAAGGCUAAUCUGAAAACAAGACUCCCUAAAUUUUAUCAGCAUAUCAAUUGCGCAACCAGGGGUGGAAAGACCUUGGAUCAUUGUUACUCUAACUUCCGCGACGCAUAUAAGGCCCUGCCCCGCCCCCCUUUCGGAAAAGCUGACCACGACUCCAUUUUGUUGAUCCCUGCCUACAGACAGAAACUAAAACAAGAGGCUCCCACGCUGAGGUCUGUCCAACGCUGGUCCGACCAAGCUGACUCCACACUCCAAGACUGCUUCCACCACGUGGACUGGGACAUGUUUCGUAUUGCGUCAGACAACAACAUUGACGAAUACGCUGAUUCGGUGUGUGAGUUCAUUAGAACGUGCGUUGAAGAUGUCGUUCCCAUAGCAACGAUUAAAACAUUCCCUAAGCAGAAACCGUGGAUUGAUGACAGCAUUCGCGUGAAACUGAAAGCGCGAACCACUGCUUUUAAUCAGGGCAAGGUGUCUGGUAACAUGACCGAAUACAAACAGUGCAGCUAUUCCCUCCGCAAGGCUAUCAAACAAGCUAAGCGUCAGUACAGAGACAAAGUAGAAUCUCAAUUCAACGGCUCAGACACAAGAGGCAUGUGGCAGGGUCUACAGUCAAUCACGGACUACAGGAAGAAAUCCAGCCCAGUCACGGACCAGGAUGUCCUGCUCCCAGGCAGACUAAAUAACUUUUUUGCCCGCUUUGAGGACAAUACAGUGCCACUGACACGGCCUGCAACGAAAACAUGCGGUCUCUCCUUCACUGCAGCCGAGGUGAGUAAGACAUUUAAACGUGUUAACCCUCGCAAGGCUGCAGGCCCAGACGGCAUCCCCAGCCGCGCCCUCAGAGCAUGCGCAGACCAGCUGGCCGGUGUGUUUCCGGACAUAUUCAAUCAAUCCCUAUACCAGUCUGCUGUUCCCACAUGCUUCAAGAGGGCCACCAUUGUUCCUGUUCCCAAGAAAGCUAAGGUAACUGAGCUAAACGACUACCGCCCCGUAGCACUCACUUCCGUCAUCAUGAAGUGCUUUGAGAGACUAGUCAAGGACCAUAUCACCUCCACCCUACCCGACACCCUAGACCCACUCCAAUUUGCUGCACCUAUGUGCACCUAUGUGAGAAUGCUGUUCAUCGACUACAGCUCGGCAUUCAACACCAUAGUACCCUCCAAGCUCGUCAUCAAGCUCGAGACCCUGGGUCUCGACCCCGCCCUGUGCAACUGGGUACUUGACUUCCUGACGGGCCGCCCCCAGGUGGUGAGGGUAGGCAACAACAUCUCCACCCCGCUGAUCCUCAACACUGGGGCCCCACAAGGGUGCGUUCUGAGCCCUCUCCUGUACUCCCUGUUCACCCACGACUGCGUGGCCACGCACGCCUCCAACUCAAUCAUCAAGUUUGCGGACGACACAACAGUGGUAGGCUUGAUUACCAACAACGACGAGACGGCCUACAGGGAGGAGGUGAGGGCCCUCGGAGUGUGGUGUCAGGAAAAUAACCUCACACUCAACGUCAACAAAACUAAGGAGAUGAUUGUGGAUGACUCCGCCCACAACCGUAAGGCUCUCCAGAGGGUAGUGAGGUCUGCACAACGCAUCACCGGGGGCAAACUACCUGCCCUCCAGGACACCUACACCACCCGAUGUUACAGGAAGGCCAUAAAGAUCAUCAAGGACAUCAACCACCCGAGCCACUGCCUGUUCACCCCGCUAUCAUCCAGAAGGCGAGGUCAGUACAGGGGCAUCAAAGCUGGGACCGAGAGACUGAAAAACAGCUUCUAUCUCAAGGCCAUCAGACUGUUAAACAGCCACCACUAA
rnacentral:lncRNA from 13 species